UAUCCUGAGGGGGUGGAGAGGCUCCUUCUUUAGCCAUCUGAAAACCACCUGGAGGGGUCUUCCAGGGACUUAAAUAGACUCUCUUGUGGAUGGAGACCCCUUCUUCCCCCUGCUAUGCAAACUCCAGG